CAUAGAUCUGUAACGUUCACAUGAGUCCUCCCUCUAAGAAGAACAUAUCAGUUAAUAUGUUUUAAUGAUGACAAAAACUAUGAAGACCAUGACAUAAAGCUAUGAAGACCAGGAGAAGUCAAAGAAGAUAUGAAGACCUGGUCAAAGGACAAUGAUAAAGCUUCACCUUAAGGACAAGAGAAGGUCGACAUGAAGAAUAUGAAGGUCAAGAAAAAUCAAAAAAAGAAGAAGACGGAACAGACCAGGUCACGACAAGGUCAAGACGAAGCUCAAAGAGGAAACAUCGAAGACUUGAAGUCAAAGGACAAAGCAUUGAAAGACAAUGCAAACAUUCAAGACCAACUAGAAAAAGUCCAUAGUACAACAUUGUUCUGGUUGCUGUCGCAGGAUAUUCAGUUGGUGUCGUCGCCGUGCCGCAUGAGGCUGUUGUCGUUCGUCGUUCUGUAACUUCUGUUUCCCCUCUGUUUAGUGGUUGCCGUCACCGAAUAUUCAGUGGUUGUCGUCGCCGUGCCGCUUGUGGCUGUCGUCGUCCACAGUCCGAUCCAGUAUCUUGCUAUGUUCGACUGUUUGAGAUGACUAUAAGAACAACAAGCAAGGAUAAAGGUUCUUUUAUGUAAGACAACAACUAGUUCGGCGCUGCCGCUACGGAAAACCCGCCACUCUACGGCCUCCAUCGUCGCAGUCGAUGGCUUAGCCUUGCCCAGGCUCCACAAAAAUCCUGGCUCCGCCUCUGGGAAUCUUAAGAGUUGUUUGCAUCUUCCACAGCUUCUCCAAAUGAGGUAUGACAUAAGCUUUGGAGUCUGAAAAUAAUGUCACGCCACACUCUGGAGGGUAAUUCGUGGGGUGAUUCUAGUUCAAGAAAAUCUUUGCAGGAAAGGCGUCCAGUACCCAAUUUUCUGUCCCUGGUGCUUAGUAGUGGCUGAGUGAGUGAGUCUUGCUCUUCCAGAUUGUGCUUAGUGUAAGGGUGUUUGGUUUGCUUCUGUGAUGGGUUUAGUGCGGGAGGGUGAGCCUGACUUGUCUAUCUCGGCCUGGAUUUCAGAGCUGAUUAUGAGAGGCUUGUGGGAGGUUGCAGAACAAUGUUGUGUGUUGUUGUAUCGCAUGUGGAAGAGCUGAAACCUGCUUUGUUUUGAGGAUGUUCAAUCCUCGGUGGAAGAGGUGGUUAAUGGUGCUACUCACGAGUUGUAUGAUUUCCAAAACGCUUGUGUGCAGACGGAGGCUCAGGCGGAUGGGGGCCAUUCCCGACAGGAUCUUAGAUGGAUGCCACCUGCAACGGGUCUCUUGAAGCUCAAUUCAGAUGCAGCGAGAGUCGAGAGGAUAUGGGGUAUUGGGACGUUGAUUAGAGAUAUCAAGGGUAAUGUGGUUGUGGCUAGUAUCAAAAAGAAAGAGAUAGAGUUUGGACCUUCGGUAGCAGAAGCUAUGGGCUUUCAGAACAGGCUGAAGUUGGCGAUUCCAAAGGGUGUUCAAUAGUUGUCUGUGGAAUUUGACUGCCUCGGUGUGAUUAAUGCUAUUCUUGGUGUGUCAAGCCAUAAUUCUUAUAUGGCACUCAUCGUAGCUGACAUAAAGAAGCUUGCAUCUUCCUUUCUGUUUGUUUCCUUUAUGCGUGUGCCUAAGGAGGCUAACAAAUUGGCUCAUUGUUUGGCCAAUUUUUUUUACUUAUAAUGAGGACAUUGUUUGGUCCUCUUCUGAUUUUCCGUCCUUCUUCCAUGCUUAUACUUUGUCGGAUAUUCUUUCGCAUAUUUUCUAAUAGAAUUUUUCCUAUUUCCG